GAUGAACGCUAGCGGCAGGCUUAAUACAUGCAAGUCGAGGGGUAGCAAGAUUGUAGCAAUACAAUUGUUGACGACCGGCAAACGGGUGCGGAACACGUACACAACCUUCCUACAAGUGGGGAAUAGCCCAGAGAAAUUUGGAUUAAUACCCCGUAACAUAGCGAUGUGGCAUCACAUUGCUAUUAUAGCUUCGGCGCUUGUUGAUGGGUGUGCGGCUGAUUAGAUAGUUGGCGGGGUAACGGCCCACCAAGUCUACGAUCAGUAGCUGAUGUGAGAGCAUGGUCAGCCAAACGGGAACAGAGACACGGGCCCGACUCCUACGGGAGGCAGCAGUAAGGAAUAUUGGACAAUGGACGCAAGUCUGAUCCAGCCAUGCCGCGUGAAGGAUUAAGGUCCUCUGGAUUGUAAACUUCUUUUAUAAGGGACGAAAAAAGGUCUUUCUAGAUCGUCUGACGGUACCUUAUGAAUAAGCACCGGCUAACUCCGUGCCAGCAGCCGCCGUAACAC
rnacentral:rRNA from 1 species